GCUUCUCCUACUGGAGGACUCGGGCUUUUCCAAUAGGGAAGGCCGUAGCCAGUCGGUCCAGGAACAGCUGGGAUUCUGUCCCAGGCCCUGAAGCUCCUCAUCCACCACUUCCUUCCCCUCUGUGACAUGCUGUCUCCAUUCCCAGACAGAUGGGGGCAUCACAAUGCUGAUAGCGCUGAUACAGCUCGGAGAAAGCCCCUGGCUCCAGUUCCCAGGCAGCGUCUCUGCAGUGAGAGAAGAAGUUGUAAGGGGCACACACUGUGCUGAUGAGCCUUCUCUACCAGGGAGAAUCCAAGCACAGCACAGCAAGAGUUCAAAGGCUGGAACGCUGCCAAUCAGGCUAUGACAUCAGAACGGGUGUAAUGAGAGUGGGAGAUGGGGGUUCAAGCCCGCACCCCCCAGGGAUUUGUUCUUUAAGUGCCUUUUCAGGAGCGGAGCUGCCAUCUGCCCAUUCCCCUCUCCUGUUGAGUGCUGGAAAGCACACUUCACGCUACACCAUUGCCUCAGCUGCGGCCACUGCACUAUCUUCACACUUACCUCCUGUCUAGAAACCCACACAACCCACCCCCUGGCUCAGCUCCUGCCGUGCAGACUUCCUGCUACCUGUCUGGAAUGUGGAUUCCCAUCCUCAGCAUCUCUUGUGGAAACUCAUCUCGGUUGUUGCACUGAGGACACUUGAAGAAGUGCUUUGCCGAUGUGUGGGCAUAUUUCUGUAAGAGAAGAAUGCGUUUGUGAAAUCAAGCAGGCCACUUCCCACGGCCACCUCACUGCAUGCACAGUCAGAAGGUCAGGAAAAGCAGUCUGGGUGUACUAGGAUGAGGGUUGCCACCAGGGGUCAGGCCUGGGACGGGACCAAAAGGUUUUUGAAGAAAGUUCCCAGGAGUGCCUCAAUUGUCCCCUGGCCAUGGGGCUUGGCAGGAGUCUGCAGGGAUCAGGCACCUGAAUACAUUCCCUUCCCUUUCAUCCUAGCAGAGAGGCAGAUUUUGAGCUCCUUAACUCAUUGUGGGAAACACCUAUUGUUUCAGAAACCCUGAAGGUUUUGCCUAGUUUAACUCUUAUGAUGAGUGAGGCCCGAGGCCAAGGAUGACCAGAGACUGGGUUGACUAUUCUCUCACAGACCUGGAAGCAGUUCCUGGGUACAUGCCUGCAGAAUGUAGUUCUGAAUCUUAUACAUGCUUGAGCAUUCCCAGAAUGCCCUGGGUCCAAGUACAUCAUGGAAGGUCUCCCAGUACAGAGAGGCCCACCUGGAUACACUUUCGGUGAUAGAUAGCUUGGCUACAGCAUGGGCUCCGGAUGUUCUCAACACUUGUUCGGGAUAAGUCUUCGCAACAUAAGAC